CCGUUCUUGCGGUCCGACCGGCGCCGCCACUACUGCUGUUUCGAUCUCCGGGAGCAGGUCAGCAAGCUUGGGUUUGGAGUCGGCGCCACCGUCUCGAGCAAGGGUUGGGCUUGAGCUGGGCGACGGGAGCACGCACCUGGUUCGAGACAGGAACAGUCUGGCAUUCUCUCCGACUAAUUCAUUCAGUGGAGAGCUCCCACCUUCUUGGGAUCGUGUAACAACACCAAAAUUCGGUUGUCAUGGACUUGCGGAGUGUAGAACGUGUUAGGAAGAGGAAAAACGAAGAUGAAGAGUUUAUGUUUGUCAUUUUGCCUGCAUUGUACUUCCACUUGACAUGGCAAAAACAAAGACAGCAAAGACACCUUUCGUUUGUAUAUGGCAAGGAGCAUGUCAGAGAAUUGCUUGGAGGACACCUCAAGAACUGCUUAGCUGCCUUUAGGAUGGAGCCGAACAUUUUCAUGUGGUUGGCAUCAUAUCUUAGAGAGGAGGGAUUGAUUUUAGAUUCUAGGAUCAAGGUGGAAGAGAAGCUCGCGUUUUUCUUGUACAUGCUCUCCCACAAUGCUUCAUAUGAAAAAAUGCAAUUAGAGUUUAAGCAUAGUGGUUGGAGUUUCAGCAAGUAUGUCACGGAGUUAUUCGAUAUUAUUCCAACCUUGACAACAAGAAUCGUCAAGCCUCUCAAUCUCUAUGAAACUCAUCCAAGGAUAGCUACAGACCGCCGCUUCUUCCCAUAC